UACGUAGGGUGCAAGCGUUGUCCGGAAUUAUUGGGCGUAAAGGGCGCGUAGGCGGUAUGGCAAGUGGAAGGUGAAAUCCCUCGGCUUAACCGAGGAACUGCCCUCCAAACUGCUUUACUUGAGGCCGGGAGAGGUGAGUGGAAUUCCCAGUGUAGCGGUGAAAUUCGUAGAUAUGUGGAGGAACACCGAUGGCGAAGGCAGCCCCCUGGGCUAACACUGACGCUCAUGCACGAAAGCGUGGGGAGCAAACAGG
rnacentral:rRNA from 1 species